rnacentral:ncRNA from 2 species
AUGAAUUCUCAGGGCGGGGCGAAAUUCCCCACCGGCGGUGAUCUUCUUGUGAAGAAAGCCCGCGAGCGCUUAUUCAACCUGAUUUCAGGCGAGUAAGGUCAGCAGAUCUGGUGCCGUAUGUAGCCCUUACAUACCUAUUCCAGAGCCGACGGUCAUAGUCCGGAUGAAAGAGGAUUUCA